CUAAGAAGCCAGGUGCUCUAUGGGAAGCAGACACAGCAAACAGGAAGCGAUAAAUUUGUAAGCUGCUAUCAGCUUUAGAAAACUUCUGUACAGAGACUGAGGUGCACUGCCAACACCAACAUUGUUAUGCUUGGGUUCUACCUAAAUUAAGCUUCUCAGUAGAUUUCCUAAAAGACUGAUGAACAAGAUAAUUUGACUGACACCAACCCAGUUUUUCCUGACACCCCACACACAUGCAAGAUCUGACAGUUGCCUUCCAAACAUCUUUA
rnacentral:lncRNA from 13 species